UACGGAGGGGGCUAGCGUUGUUCGGAAUUACUGGGCGUAAAGCGCGCGUAGGCGGCUUUGUAAGUUAGAGGUGAAAGCCCGGAGCUCAACUCCGGAACUGCCUUUAAGACUGCAUCGCUAGAAUUGUGGAGAGGUGAGUGGAAUUCCGAGUGUAGAGGUGAAAUUCGUAGAUAUUCGGAAGAACACCAGUGGCGAAGGCGGUUACCUGGAGCUUUGCUGACGCUGAUGCGCGAAAGCGUGGGGAGCGAUCCGG
rnacentral:rRNA from 1 species